rnacentral:rRNA from 1 species
UACAGAGGUCUCAAGCGUUGUUCGGAUUCAUUGGGCGUAAAGGGUGCGUAGGCGGCGCGGUAAGUCGGGUGUGAAAUCUCGGAGCUUAACUCCGAAACUGCAUUCGAUACUGCCGUGCUUGAGGACUGGAGAGGAGACUGGAAUUUACGGUGUAGCGGUGAAAUGCGUAGAUAUCGUAAGGAAGACCAGUGGCGAAGGCGGAUCUCUGGACAGUUCCUGACGCUGAGACACGAAAGCCAGGGGAGCAAACGGG